UUUUUUGUUUGAAGCACAAAAAAGAAAAAUUCGUUUCAAAACGGUUCAAUUCUUUAGUCCGUCAUGUUGAUUGGCUUCGCCCCCGGUCAUCUCUGCCGGCGGCGACGACUCCUUCUUCACUGCGUUUCUCAUAUUCAUCAUCACAUUCUUUCACCACUUCGUUUCCUCGAGCAAGCCUCUCUGAACCCAACCCAAUAUCAGAACUCGCCCUAUCAUGUGCUUGUACGAGCAGAUUCGAAAUCUUUAAAUCGAGAUACGGUCCGGCGAUCUUCGGUUAGAGAAAAAUACGACGAUCAAGUGGAAGACAUAAGUGAAAUGAGGGUUGGGGGUUCUGUUAU
rnacentral:lncRNA from 1 species